GGCUCAUCAAUCUCUCAAUCUAACCCCAAAAAAGCCCUACCCCUUCACUACCCACCCCACCUAGUAAGAGCUUCAUUCUCGUUCUCCUCUCUUGGUAGCAAUCUAAUGAAAGCUAGAAAUCAAUUUCAUAAGAGCUUCAUUCAUAUAGCGCGUUCUCUUUUCCUUUUUCUCGCGAAGUCAAUUGUGUAAGGGCGCAAACCACUUCUCUGGAAUCCUCACCGCCGUGGUGCUCCCCCUCCGUCAAUUCCAGUAGUCUCGUCAUCCCCAUUGUUGUAUCCAUCACUGAGCCACUUCCCCGCCCUUCCUCCAUGAUUGCGCACACCACUUCAUUAGUCAAGAAUCAGAUUUGGGAUUUGUUUUCUACCUCGCACAAACAGAAAAGGAGCAGAAACAAGAAACACACCUCCGCGCUAGAAUAGUUGCCGACGUUCCCCUCUACCCGUCAGUACCGGCUGCAUUGUGCUUCCCUUGCCAGUGGGUCCAUGGCCGAUUUGCUCCCUCUUUCCUCUGGUUCUAUUCUCAGAACACAGGACAAAAGGGGGUGAAGCAAAGGAAAGGCCUGCAAGACGCACCGAUACCGCUGUGAAGAGUUGUCGCCGCAACGCGCUGCACCUCCAUUCUGGGUCUUUCCUAUCUGCAGAAUACUGCCAAAGCAGGAGAGAAGAAAAUAGGAAUGCAAUCAAGUGGUACUAAAGAAGAUAACAUAUUCUCCCUUACAAAGCAACUUUCUCUAAAUUCCUUUGGCAAAAACAAGUCUUCAAAUAGCUAGAUUAUUACGAUAACAAAAGCUAGUUUCUUAUUUAUUUCUUCA